GGCUGGGCUGACACUGGAUGGACCCCAUUUGCAUGGACAGCCCUGCCUCUGGCACAGGGUGGAGGAGAAAAGGAGGCCUGGGGCAGACCAGCCAGGGUCUGUGUCACCAUGGCCUGGAUUCCUGUCCUCCUCAUGCUCCUGUCUCUCUGCACAGGAUCUUUGGCCCAGCCUGUGCUGACCCAGCCGGCCUCACUCUCCGCAUCUCCGGGAACAACAGCCAGACUCACCUGCACCUUGAGCAGGGAUAUCAGUGUUGGUAGUAAAUACAUGAACUGGUACCAGCAGAAGCCAGGGACCCCUCCCAGGUAUCUCCUGUACUACUACUCAGACUCAAGUACACAGCUGGGACCUGGGAUUCCCAGUCGCUUCUCUGGCUCCAAGGAUACCUCAGCCAAUGCAGGGAUUCUGCUCAUCUCUGGGCUGCAGCCUGAGGACGAGGCUGACUAUUACUGUGCAGUGUGGCACAGUGGUGCUGGUCACCGUGACACACAGAUAUGGGGAAGUGGGACAAAUACCUCAGCCUGCUCACAACAUUGCACUCUGACUCUCUUCCAAAUUAAAAUAACUAGACCUGAAGCUGAGGUUGAUUAUUACUGCUCAGCAUGGGACCACAGCAUCAACAAGGACACAGAGCUGCUGGACCAUGGUGACCUGGUACAGAAAGCUGCUCCUAUUCCCCAUGUCACUGCCUGUGACAAACAGGGAGACUGUGGAGACCCUGGAAGCCUGAGUGCAUGA